rnacentral:SRP_RNA from 1 species
GCCAGGUGUGGUGGCUCACGCCUGUAAUCCCAGUACUUUGGGAGGCCGAGGUGGGUGGAUCACCUGAGGUCAGGAGUUCGAGACCAGCCUGACCAACAUGGAGAAACCCCAUCUCUA